CUCUCUCUCUCUCUUUUUUUUUUUUUUUUUUGAGAGACAGAGUCUCGCUCUGUCGCCCAGGCUGGAGUGCAGUAGCACGAUCUCGGCUCACUGCAACCUCCGCCUCCCAGCUUCAAGCGAUUCCCCUGCCUCAGCCUCCCGAGUAGCUGGGACUAUAGGUGUGUGCCACCAUGCUCGGCUAAUUUUUUGUAUUUUUAGUAGAGAUGGGGUUUCACCGUGUUAGCGAGGAUGGUUUCUAUCUCCUGACCUCGUGAUCUACCUGCCUCGGCCUCCCAAAGUGCUGGGAUUACAGGUGUGAGCCACCUCGCUCGGCCCUGUUGGCCUAUUUUUGAUGAAGGCAUUUGCUUCACCUGUAUUUGAAUACGUGCAUAUAUUUAAAGGAGGAAUUAAUUCCAAUGAGUGUGAAAAUGUAUCAAGAAAAAAGAAAAUGUCAGCGGAAUUUGAAGCCAAUACUAUGGAUUCUCUAGUAGACAUGCCAUUUGCUACUGUAGAUAUUCAGGAUGACUGUGGAAUCACUGAUGAACCUCAAAUAAAUUUGAAGAGAAGUCAAGAAAAUGAAUGGAUCAAGAGUGAUCAAGUAAAGAAGAGGAAAAAAAAGCGAAAAGAUUAUCAACCCAACUAUUUCCUAUCCAUUCCAAUCACCAAUAAAGAGAUUAUAAAAGGAAUUAAGAUCCUGCAAAAUGCAAUAAUACAACAAGAUGAGCGACUGGCCAAAGCAAUGGUCCAGACACAGGUGGCACCUCCAACUUCCUUCAUGGCGCUAAGAUAUGGACGGAGUGAGACAGUACAUUUCAUAGCCAUGAUUGCAGUCAUCACAGAAGCCCAGCUGGUCAUCAUCUUCAGAGGUGCCGCAGAUGUCGCAACAUUUGCACUCGAUAUACUGUCAGCAGUAUGUCUUCACUGCCGCA
rnacentral:sRNA from 1 species